UACGUAGGGUGCAAGCGUUACUCGGAAUUACUGGGCGUAAAGCGUGCGUAGGUGGUUUGUUAAGUCUGUUGUGAAAGCCCCGGGCUCAACCUGGGAAUGGCAAUGGAUACUGGCAAGCUAGAGUGCGGUAGAGGGUAGUGGAAUUCCCGGUGUAGCGGUGAAAUGCGUAGAUAUCGUGAGGAAGACCAGUGGCGAAGGCGGAUCUCUGGACAGUUCCUGACGCUGAGGCGCGAAGGCCAGGGGAGCAAACGGG
rnacentral:rRNA from 1 species